GGUAUUGUUGAAUCGGUUCAGUUUUUUAAAUUCAUGUUUUGGCAGAUCUUUUGUGUCCAUUCGAAUCCCCAAUCUCUAAUGUGAACUCUCAUACUUUUUCCAAUCAAAUUGGACACGCCUAGCCUUUUAUGUAGCCAACCCUAACUCACGAUACAGACAAGUAUUGUUGAAUCGGUUCAGUUUUUUGAAUUCAUGUUUUGGCAGAUCUUUU
rnacentral:lncRNA from 1 species